rfam:Triticum urartu cultivar G1812 contig398806, whole genome shotgun sequence.
UUUCUACUCCCUCCGUUCCAAAUUACUUGUCUUGGAUUUAUCUAGAUACGGAUGUAUCUAGACUCAUGCUAGAUACAUCCGUAUCUAGACAAAUCCAAGACAAGUAACUCGAAACGGAGGGAGUAGAUG